CAGUGGUGUGAAGGAGCAGGGGAAGGUGACGGUCGAUCCUUUCAUAGCCCAAACAGGGCUAUCUGGAUAGUUGACACAUUGACCCAGAGCACCUGGAACAACAACACAGUGACACCCACUGCCAGCUGCAGCACUACUCUCUCGUCCACCAGUUAAACAAGGGAGCAUUUUGGGUGCUGUGUCCAGAAACGAAGCCCUUGCUAACUGCAGAGGUAUCUGUAACGAGGGUCGGUGUUGUUUGAUUCGCUGUCGUACACACACGGAGUCUCUCCGAAACAGAAUUCAUGGUUCUUGCACCAGAUGACUCUGACGACCUCGA